UACGUAGGGGGCAAGCGUUGUCCGGAUUUAUUGGGCGUAAAGAGCGUGUAGGCGGCCAAGCAGGUCCGCUGUGAAAACUCGAGGCUCAACCUCGAGACGUCGGUGGAAACCGUUUGGCUAGAGUCCGGAAGAGGAGAGUGGAAUUCCCGGUGUAGCGGUGAAAUGCGCAGAUAUCGGGAAGAACACCCGUGGCGAAGGCAGCUCGCUGGGACGUUACUGACGCUGAGACGCGAAAGCGUGGGGAGCAAACAGG
rnacentral:rRNA from 1 species